rnacentral:rRNA from 1 species
CCUACGGGAGGCAGCAGUGGGGAAUAUUGGACAAUGGGCGAAAGCCUGAUCCAGCCAUGCCGCGUGGGUGAAGAAGGCCUUCGGGUUGUAAAGCCCUUUUGUUGGGAAAGAAAUCCAGCUGGUUAAUACCCGGUUGGGAUGACGGUACCCAAAGAAUAAGCACCGGCUAACUUCGUGCCAGCAGCCGCGGUAAU